rnacentral:lncRNA from 1 species
AGGGAGGGAGGGAGGGAGAGAGAAUCAGAUAUAUAUGUGCAUGGUGACAGGUGAUCUGAGAGGAAGGAGUAGUAAGUACAGAGAAAAGCAUGAGUGAGUGAUGAGUGAGUGUGACUUACCAUCCAUGCCUUGUUUCUCUGACUCUCUCAUCUGUCUCACAUCUUUUACCCUCUCAGUUACGUAAAUUGAUUCAGAAAGGAAUAAAAAGGGCUUUCGCUAGUUUACUGCGAUUUUCAAGUUUUUGAGAGAGAGAGAGAGUGAGAAAUGAGAGAGUUUUCAAAUACAAUAGUUCAAGUUCGAUUUUAAUGCUGCUUAACAUUCAGUGUUUGAAUAUUUUUAACCGUAUUUUUGUGAUUAAAUUUGAUUUCUAUAACUAUUAAUCUUUUAUGUUCAAUUUUGUCCAUUCAAUAACUAUAUCAAUUACUGCCAUGUAAUUGCAACGGUUGAGUUUGUGCAAUGAAUACUUGUGGACAAAAGGCUUGUUUGACUAAAUAGCAAUCCUUACUAAUUUGUCUUUUUGAUCUUUCAUCAUUCUCUGGCCAUAGGAACUAAUAACUAUGUCUAUGUGCCUAUGUGGGGCUCCCUCUUUCAAUUAAUUCAGAUGCAGUGAUACUAUAUUCCUGCAUAGAAAUUUGUUAAUGCAAGAUGAUAUGAUUUCACAUUUGAAUAAGUUAACGUGCAAAACUUUCAUGCAAAUGAAGGAAUCAAUGGAAAGGAAGAUGGUAAUCAUUUAGAAAGUGACUCUACCUUGCAACAAUUCUUGAGUCCUGACCAACAUGGCAAUGACAUUUCAGCAUUUAUUUACUUUAUAAUUAAUAUUACUGAUUUGGUGCUUUGAAAAUUAGACCUGAUAAUUUCUUACACGAUCCAUUAACACUACACAUAAAUGACACGAAAAUAACAGAUUUUGGAUCGACACAAUAACUAAUCGGGUCACACGAUAAGAACUUGUUAAUAACUGGUCCUUAACAGGUUUACAUGAGAAUGACACACGGAUAACUAAUUGGACACAUUAAGAAAAAAGUUAUUUUGAUGAUGUUAAUUUUUUGAACUACUUAAAAACACUUACUAUAAAAUACAAUAGCUAGAGUGUAUAUGUAUAUUUUGUAUAUUUAUUUGUACCAUACUUAGGGCAUCCGUAUUUAGAUCUCGUAUAAAUACUCGGGGGACUCAAAUGUAAUUAUGUAAUAAAUGAAGGGACAAAUAUGUAAAAAGGGGAGGAGCCCUUAGUCUAUAAAAAGGUCUCCUCACCCUCACAAUGAAGCAAGCUCUCACCCUCACAAUCCUCUCACAAACAGAGAAAUACAAUAUCAAUGUGGACGUAGCCCAAACAUUGGGGUGAACCACGAUACAUCUUGUGUUCUUUACUUUCUUGCAGAUUCACGGUCGGAUUUACGUUGUCCCAAGACCCCUCCGGUUUUGUGCAUCAACAUUUGGCACCGUCUAUGGGAAUCGACAUGAAAAGCUAUGUCAGUUCUCUCUCAAUUUUUCAUCUCCACCGUGAAUCUGCAAAAACCCAGGAAGCCAAAAUUAUCUACUUUUUCCUACGGCUCUCUUUCCCUCUUGCACCAAAAGCUACAGAGCCCAAGAAGAAAGAAACGCCACCAUCAAAACACAAGCCAAAACAUUUGCCCUUAGUCUGAUUGCUCAUUUGUCACCAUGGAAACCUGCUUCAUUGUCCCCAUAGCCCUCUGCAUCUGCAGCCUCCAGGUCCAAUACGGGCCCAUCAUCUCCCUCCACAUCGGCUC